AUGGUCAGGCGAUGGGGAAUGCAAUUACUGAAGAUUCAGAUUACACCCGGGCAGUGGGUAAAGAAACUAACAGUGACUGGGGAAUUGAUCAGUGGAUAAAAUCGUGCGUGCCAGGGAGCUGGAAGGCCUAAAAGAUCAACACUGUUACUCGUCUGGAAGAGUAUUAUUUCUUGUUUUCAGUUUAUUUGCAUGAAAGCCAUACGUGUUGCCCGACACGUAAUGGUCCAUUGUAAGGGCCACCUCAUGUUUAAAUUUGCAUUUCUGCAUCAUUAAUAAAUGGAUGUUUUUC
rnacentral:lncRNA from 1 species